GAAAUCUGAAACAAACACAGGAAAGUAUCAGUCACUACUUAGAUCAGUCCAGACAUGCAACCACAGAAGGAACCAAAGGUCAUGUCUAUUCAACAUGCGUAAAUUAAAUGUGUCCAGAAAGCAUAAGCCAGCAACAAGUUUGUUCCACACCUCCACACGCCUCCAGAGUACCAACCUUUUGGCCAGAGUAUGGGAUUAUAGUUGACCACAGCAUAAAUAUUUCAGAAUCCAUUGGCAUGGGAAGGAAAAACAAGCAUGAGCUCUUCUUUCUGUGGGAUACCUUGCACCAAUCCUUCAUUGUCAGAGCAAUUACAACCUUUUGUUUGGUUGCCUCAUUUGCUUUCCUGCAAUGCUGUGUCUUAACACCACAUUUACCUGAUAAAUUGGCCAGCUUCCCCAUCUGAAUAAUGAUCCAAGGCUUUUACAUGCUCUUGUCAUAAAAAAAACAGCAGCUCUGCUGAAUGCCCUGGCUGCUAUCAGUAAACACAGCCAAGAGGCUGUGCCUGCAGCGCUGGCAGGAGUUACGACUCUGAAAACACCAGCCAGCUCAGCUGCCUUAGUCACUCACUCACAAGUGGUGCUCACACAUGGUCCCUCAGCUAGCUUGCUGGUGACUGGAUGGAUACAGUGACAACACAGAUGAAAUUAACAACAACUUAAAGCAAGUUAUUAUGUUCAUAUUUGUAAGUCAAAAUAGAUGAUACAGCCCUUUUACUGCACUGAACACUGACUGAAGGAACUAUUGCACUGACAAAUGUCUGGCAUUUCUUUGUGGGCUCUCCAAUAAGGUCAACAGCAUCUGAGCAACCCUUAUCAAUGCUGGAGUAAGAGAAGGCAGCGAAACCCAGUCAAGGCAGGGAACUCUUAUACAAAAACAUUGUUGAAUAUUGACUUUUAUAUUGGCAUUUCCAGGAUCCAAAAGACUAAGGGAAAUGAUACUAUGUCAAUAUUGGAGUAUAAAGACAAUGGGCACUUUCAUUGCUGGGUACGUUAAACUGAUCUUCCGGCCCAUCUGGAUCUUCAGUGGAAAUGGGGCAAAUCAUUCCAGGUUCAUCUUUCAUUACUCAUUAGUAAUGCUUUUUCUUUUUCUUUUUUUUUUUUUUUCUUUGUGGGAAAGAAAAAAAUGCACAACGAAGCUGUGAUUUUUAUUUUUUUUUUGGUACCAACGAUCACUUUCUCAUCUCAGAAUGGCUCCAGGCCUUUCUUUAAAAAAAUAAAAAAUAAAUAAAUAAAACACAACACUUUAACAACUUCAGGGAAAAAAAAAAAAAAAGAGAGAGAGAGAGGGAGGGUAACAAAGGUAAUGAAUAGUUUCAUUCUUUAAAAAAAGCACCAUGCUUUCAAGCUCUGGUACACAAUGACUGCCCUCUCCCCUCAUGCUGGGAAAAGAACCAGAGCAGAUGCUUCCUCACACAUCCAGUGUGCCUCAUAAAAGUGUGGGACUCUUCACAACAGAGCAAAGUAUUGCUUCACUAGUGCAUCGCUCCCUGCAGCGGUCUCCAGGGUAUUUGAAACCUACUAAUGGAGCAGAUAUACAGACAGCUAGAGGACAGGAACAGUCACACUGAAUAAGACUAAUAACCCAUCUAACAUUGUUUUUUGGUUUCAGAGUCAACCACGUCAUGCUGCCAAGAGGUGUGCUCUCCUAACAGAGAACUGCACAUUGACCUGCUGGUCUGAGUCUGGCUCUUGUAACGGCUGGAGGAUGGAGACCUGCUCCUUUUCCCCUGUCCCCAAAUACAGCUACCUCACAGCACUGGGUGAAGACUGGAUGUACCUGGAAUUGUGCUGGAAAAAGUGCCUGAACAGUUAAUCUGGAAUAGUUCUGUGCAGUCGAGCCCUGUUGUAUGUAUCUCCACCAGGCCUCUUAAACACAAGGGAGAAACGGUGUUGUUCAUCUACCAUCAUGUUUCAUGGAUUUGGGACAUCUCCAGAAGAUGACAUGAAGAGGGAAUAAACCACUGCAUACGAGCUGUGCAGAUCCUGUUUGCAGAUUAUCUACAAGCUCGGCAGCAUCAGAGAGCUCCCAAAGCUGAGAACAGCACAAACUCAGCCCUGCCCAUCUCUGGCAUGCCCUUGCUGUCAGGGCUUGAAAGUGGAUCAAUACAAAACAGAUCGUGAUGGCCUAAUUUGUUUCUCUGCCACAUCUCCAUUAAGCUCUUGACAGCCGGUGACUGCCAGUGAAACAGCGAGGAGGCCUGCCCUCUCUUUGCCGGAGCUGACCUCCCUGCCCUGCCUGUCCUGUGCCUUCCAGAAGCACUGCAUGGCCAGCUCUGGGUACUAACCUCUCCCAGACAUACAGUAGGCUGUUAGAGAAUCAUGAGGGAGGGGAAAAAAAUAAAAAAUAAAAAUAAUGCACCUGUACCAGUCAGUGCUAUAGUUUCUAUUGCAAUUUCCAGUGUGCAGACCCACAAAGCAUCAUUUAAGAUAGAAAUUACAGAAAUUAAAGCAGGGCAGAAAGUGUCUAAACUUUCAGAACUUUCAGAGCACUCCAUUCCUCUAGAUUUGGACCCCCUAGAUGCCUGCUGUGGUUUGCUAAUCCCAUGGAAAGGACUAGACACACCCCCAUCCCAGAGGAGGCCCCUCAAGAGCCCCUCUGCCCUGUGCAGACAAGGCACACAAGUGAUGGGUCUCUGGGCCAAAACACUGACUGAGAUGCACUCAGUUCUUCUCACAUGCCAGCUUAUAAGGUAGAAUAUCUCCAGCAAGAUAGGCUGAAAGGUGCCCUUUGGAUGGCAAUCGAUUGCCAGCAUCAGGUACCAGCUUUCCCAGCCUGAAUACUUGUCAAGUAACAGAAGACUGCAGGGCCUAGCCUGGAAAGAAAGCAUACCUGACAUCUGGAUUAUAUGAACUAUGUAAGUUUCUUAAAAUGAGGUUGCUAACCUGAUGAUGAAGAGAUGAGUGUAACACAAAAGAGAGCUAGUUUGAAGACACAGAGUUUUCACCCUUGCAAUGUAAAUGCAGGACAAGCUGUCCUAACAGCACAGCAGGUAGCAAUACUCUGCUAACACAUCAGGAAGGUAAACAGGCCACCAACGUCUCAUAUGUACCUGUGGAGAAGAUUAGGAAGUCCAUACUAAUGAAGGAAUACAAAGUACCACAAUGAAAAGCUAAUUGUAUAUAUUCUCAGCAAUAUUUUAACUCUUGGCAUUAAGGUCUCCAAUGUCUUUAAGCAGACACUAAAGUGAACAAAGACCCAGAUAAACAUCAUUAAGAACUGACAACAGGAGGCCUGCUACCAUGGAAAAGGACCUGACAAUCUGCACGAUAUCUCUGUCUGAUAUCUGAUUCAUUACAGAAUAUGGAAGAUAUCAGCAAACACUGUCUGUUUUGUAACAUAUGGAGAUGUUAUUUCAAGAAUAUUUUUUGUAAGUUCUACAGAUCUGAUUCUGCUUCACAGAAAUCUCAGCCAUGCCUUUAAAGUCUGAGAGAAAGAGCUCACCAAUUACCAUAUGGGCUCCAAAGAUCACACCUAACAGUAUUACACAGCAUCACUCAAACGAAUGAGGCCAUUUUAUUAUUGAGAUAUCAUGUAUUAACUUGACAUGCAAAUUAGCAUAUCACCUAGACAUGUUGAGGGAAAUUUUCACUGAAACUUCUUUCCAUGUGUACCUCAAAACAGACAGAACAAUCACUUAAAUCAAUCACUUAAAUCAAAGCAAAGUUUUUUCUUCAAUAACAGGAUUCUGGGUUGUUCAGAUACAUGAGAUGUAGGAACAAACACAACUUUGCCUAACUCAAACUACGUACAGUGUCCUACAGCAGCCACACAUUCUUAUCAUAAAGAGCACCCUAAUAAAGAAGAUGAAUUGUUGUAAUUAAUUACCUUUCAAGUCUCUGCAGAUAACCUGUCUCUCUUUAGGAAAACUGGCUUCUCCAGCUCUCUUCAGUACUGAAGUCUAAGAGAUGGCAACAGAGCCAGUAGUUCUGAAACCCUGUU